UGCUGCUGUUGGAGUCGAGGGUUAAGAGAGUGGGGCGAUUGUAAUGGGUGAUUGCAGGUCCACUUCUGUGCCUGUGUUG